GUGUGAAUCCAAGAGGUUUUUUCCUGGAAAGAAGGUGGAAGCAAGGCUGUGAGCCAGGCUGUCAUUAAGAAAUGCAUUAGUAUUGGAAUGUGAAGAAAGAUCUUACAACCAGCAUUUCCACAGCGACGUUAAACGCAGCCAAGAGCAGACCAUGACUAUUGUGGUGUUUGAAAAUGUUGGAGUCUGAGCUGCCUCCAGGGCCAAUUCCUCAGCUGGCGCAAGUUUGUGCUGGAAACCUGCUAUCCACACUGCUCCUUCGAGGGACAAGGAGAGGUGAGCAAGUCGAGGCUGCUGCUCCCUCUGCCGACUCCGGCUGAGAGCCAGAGGCUCAGCCCCGGGGCGAGCUCCCGGGCCCGAGUCCCAGCCGGUACCUGUGCCCGACCCCACCACGAGCAUCUCCGAGGGUGGAAGCCACGCUACCAGAAGAGCUGCUUUGAUCCCUUUAAUCCUUUAGCAACCAUGUGUGUUUUCUAAAGAGGUUUUCUGUAUGUCCCGGGGGUAUAAAAUCACAAUGGGAAAGAAGUGCUGCUUAUAAACUGUAAGCAACUGCAAUCUGCCUCCAGCUCUGUUGGUAACACCCUAUGGAUAUUUGCUUCUCGGAGAUUAGAGGAACAAAGCAAGAAGAGAGCAGCGUUCCAUUACGGUAGAGCAUAUAAUAUUGUGAUUAUUACUCAUGCCCUCCGUCUAAUUAAUCAUUUUGUGUGUUAUUUGAAGGCAAACAGGGCCUUUGGUUCAUUAUCGCUUAUACAUACACAGAACUGGAGUCACUUCAGUGCUGUCAGACUUGGUUAAUCCCUGCCUGGGUUUUGUACAUGUCUGGGUAUCUGAAUCAUGUACAUGGCAAAUGAUCUACUAAUAUGUUUGCUCCACCAGUUUGUUCAUAUGGAGCCAAAUAUAUGAAAGCAUUCAAACUCCGGAAAGUGCAGAUAUGGUCCUAAUGGACUUGACAAAGGCACCUAAUGUUAAAGGUUGUGAA